rnacentral:misc_RNA from 1 species
GAUGAAGAACGCAGCGAAAUGCGAUAAGUAAUGUGAAUUGCAGAAUUCAGUGAAUCAUCGAAUCUUUGAACGCACAUUGCGCCCGCCAGUAUUCUGGCGGGCAUGCCUGUCUGAGCGUCAUUUCAACCCUCAUGCCCCUAGGGCGUGGUGUUGGGGAUCGGCCAAAGCCCGCGAGGGACGGCCGGCCCCUAAAUCUAGUGGCGGACCCGUCGUGGCCUCCUCUGCGAAGUAGUGAUAUUCCGCAUCGGAGAGCGAUGAGCCCCUGCCGUUAAACCCCCAACUUUCCAAGGUUGACCUCAGAUCAGGUAGGAAUACCCGCUGAACUUAAGCAUAUCAAUAAGCAGGA